CCUACGGGGGGCAGCAGUGAGGAAUAUUGGUCAAUGGGCGUAAGCCUGAACCAGCCAAGUCGCGUGAGGGAUGAAGGUUCUAUGGAUCGUAAACCUCUUUUAUAAGGUAAUAAAGUGCGGGUCGUGUCCCGUUUUGUAUGUACCUUAUGAAUAAGGAUCGGCUAACUCCGUGCCAGCAGCCGCGGUAAUACGGAGGAUCCGAGCGUUAUCCGGGUUUAUUGGGUUUAAAGGGUGCCUUGGGGGCCUUUUAAGUCAGCGGUGAAAGUCUGUGGCUCAAACCUAGAAUUGCCGUGGAAACUAGGAGGCUUGAGUAUGUUUGAGGCAGGCGGAAUGCGUGGUGGAGCGGUGAAAUGCUUAGAUAUCACGCAGAACCCCGAGUGCGAAGGCAGCCUGCCAAGCCAAGACUGACGCUGAUGCACGAAAGCGUGGGGAGCAAACAGGAUUAGAUACCCUUGUAGUC
rnacentral:rRNA from 1 species